UUCAGAUAGCCAGAUGAAAAGGAAAAAGAAGGGAAAUGCAAAAAUCAAAGGUACUUUCUUUUUCAUGGAAACCUUCUCCUCCUUUCUCUGCUGUCCCUGCUCCCUCUGCUUCCCCUGCAUGUCCUCAUCCUUCCUUGCUUCUAACUGACUGUAGUGGCUCCAAGGAAAGGGGGAGGUGAGGAUCUUUUAGAGAGGUGGCUCCCUUUAAUAAUAGGUUUCCCUGUAAAGGGAGAUGAAGGUAUGACUUUCUACAACAACCUGCUCUAUUUGAGGAUACAAGCUUGUGUGUCUGGUGGCCUAGCCCUGAGUCUACUUUAUGUUUUAGACCAGAUUCCACCUCCAGGAGGUCUUAUCAUCUACGCACCACACAACACACAACUAGAAAGACAGAAAUAAUGGACAGGGUCAUGAGAUGACUGAGAACUUGUAUAAAAGACUGUGCUAUGGUUUGAAUGUGUCCUCCAAAUUUCAUGUGUUGGAAACUUAAUCUCCAAAUUCAUAUGUUGAUGGUAUUUGGAGGUGGGGCCUUUGGGAAGUGAUUAAAAUUAGAUAACUUCAUCAGGGUGGGACCACCAUGAUGGGACUGGUGGCUUUCUAAGAAGAGGAAGAGAGACCUGAGCUGACAUGCUCUUACUCUCUUGCCGUGUGAUACCUUCCAGCAUGUUAUGACACAGCAGGAAGGCCCUCAUCAGAUGCUGGCACCUUGAUAUUGGACUUCCCAGUCUCCAGAAUCAUGAGGUAAAUAAACUUCUGUUCUUCACAGAUUACUCAUCUGUGGUAUUCAAUUAUAGCAACAAAAAAGUAGGCUAAGACAGACUGUUUUCCAUAUGAAGGCAAUAGAAUGGAGAGUAGCUGCACUUUUCACUUGGAAAAAGACAGACAACCAAGGUAUUAAACUUAUGAAUGUCAUCACUGGAACUGAAGAGUAAUUUACAUUUUUAUUGUCUCAAUGUGAGGAAAACCAGAUCUUCCUAUUUGGAUAGCCAACAAAGCUGAGAAGCUACCCAGGACUCUUGGGUGGUUCAGAUCCUUUUCUCACUCAUUUAAACGCUUCUCUUCCCUUUGCCCCAGAAAUUUGCAGUACUACCAUACAGCAUGUUUUCAGUUUAAAGCCCCAUGUGUGGAGAUGUGCACUGGCUACUGCAUGGAAUUUUGUAUCCUGAAGACUUUGAUCAUUUGAUGGAGCGAGGAUGUUGGUGUUCAGAAGAUUAUUUCGGGGUAUGGUGGCCAAGAGAAGCUGACUAUCCACCAUCCCCCCCAAAUAUGGAUAAUCUGAAUAUAGAGGUUACUUGAAUCCUUUCUUGUAAAGAGGAACUGGAAGACAUUGCAGCUGUUUACUCGUAAGACAGAUGAGUCUCUCACUGAUUUCCAUCAGUGAUUUGUUCAGAUAGUCUAAAAUAUUUAUUGGCAUGAAUCCAAGGUCAUAUAAAAAUUGUCCUCUAAUCACCUUUAUUUUAGCUCUUUUACUGACUAUCCAAACCCAAGUUAAAGAAAAGGUGUGAUGGCAGAAGCAAACUAUUACUCAAAUCUUAGCAGCAGCUACUCAGUUUUGGGAUAAUCUAAGAACAAAAAAGAAAAGAAGAGAUUAAAAUGUGCUGUGUUCUCUGCUUAUUUAGAACUUUUUACUGAAGGUAAAAUGACCAAUCCAGAAAGGGAAGAAAGAAAGAUGGAAGGCUGUAUGUUGUUACUGCAAGAAGCGAGGGCUCUGGAAAAGGAACUGCCGAAGGACACUCUGGAUGAUGCAGCAACUACAAAGGUAAGAGAAUUAGGAGAGCCUAGAACAAAACUUUCAGCUAGGAAAUACUUGCCAAAUGAUUCAAAAUUGAUAAAUUGAGGGAAUCCCAAAGGUGGGAACUAGUGGACUGUAUUGUGUCAAUAAAUUUUCCCAUCUGGUGACAGUUAAUACAGGUUAUGAAUAUUUUGGGUCAGCCUUCUCCUUGUCCCCUUUCCUCUGUAAUUUCCAUAGAGAUAGGUCCUUUGACUGAGAAACAUGUGUUCUUCAUUUCUCCUGAAUCACCUAUAAACAUACUGGUGAGAAACCUGCUGUGCAACUUAAUAGAUACCAUAUUGUGUACUCUGGGUGAAGUGUCUGUGGAGCUUUUUGGGAAAAGGCACCUGAUUUGGACACUAUAUACUUCUGAAAGAAAAGAGGUAUGGCAGAGGGUGGCCAUAUCUUUGGAUUAGGCAAAGAUUCUUAGAUACAACACCAAAAGCAGGACCCAUAUGGAAAAAAAUAAACAAAUUGAACUUCAUAAAAAAUGAAAAAAAAUUGCAUUUCAAAAUAUUCCAUUAAGGAAAUGAGAAGACAAGCCACAGACUGGGAGAAAUAUUGGCAAAUCAUAUUUCUGGUAAAGGAAUUGUAUCCAGAAUACAUUAAGAACUCUUACAACUCAAUCAUAAUAAUGAUAAUAAUCAGACAACUGAAUUUAAAAGUAAGUAGAAGACUUGAAGGAGCAUUUAAUCAAAGGGAAUGACAAUAUUGCAUUAAUUUGAAAUACAAAAAAUAGCUUACCAGCUUUCCGCCAUCUUUCCGUGCCGCCACAAUGGUGCGCAUGAAUGUCCUGGCUGAUGCUGUUAAGAGCACCAACAAUGCCGAAAAGAGAGGCAAACGCCAGGUGCUUAUUAGGCCGUGUUCCAAAGUCAUCGUCCGGUUGCUCACAGUGAUGAUGAAGCAUGGUUACAUUGGCGAAUUUGAAGUCAUUGACAAUCACAGAGCUGGGAAAAUUGUUGUGAACCUCACAGGCAGGCUAAUCAAGUGUGGUGUGAUCAGCCCCAGAUUUGAUGUGCAACUCAAAGAUCUAGAAAAAUGGCAGAAUAACCUGCUUCCGUCCCGCCAGUUUGGUUUCAUUGUAUUGACAACCUCAGCUGGCAUCAUGGACCAUGAAGAAGCAAGAUGAAAACACACAGGAGGGAAAAUCCUGGAAUUCUUUCUCUAGGGAUGUAAUACAUAUAUUUACAAAUAAAAUGCCUCAUGGACAAAUAUAUAUAUCCUACCAAAAAGAUGAGCCACGACCAUGUGUAAACAAUAUCGUUUGUUGAGAGCUCAAUUAAACAUAAUAAAACCAGUUAUAAAAAAUUAGAAAAACAUGUAAUCCCCAUGCUUUGGAAGGCCGAGUUAGGAGGAUCAGUUGGGAUUCGGUGUUUGAGACCAGUCUGGGCAACAUAGUGAGACUUCAUCCCUACA